CGGGGAAUUUUGGACAAUGGGGGCAACCCUGAUCCAGCAAUGCCGCGUGAGUGAAGAAGGCCUUCGGGUUGUAAAGCUCUUUUGUCAGGGAAGAAACGGUAGUAGCGAAUAACUAUUACUAAUGACGGUACCUGAAGAAUAAGCACCGGCUAACUACGUGCCAGCAGCCGCGGUAAUACGUAGGGUGCAAGCGUUAAUCGGAAUUACUGGGCGUAAAGCGUGCGCAGGCGGUUGUGUAAGUCAGAUGUGAAAUCCCCGGGCUCAACCUGGGAAUUGCAUUUGAGACUGCACGGCUAGAGUGUGUCAGAGGGGGGUAGAUUCCACGUGUAGCAGUGAAAUGCGUAGAUAUGUGGAGGAAUACCGAUGGCGAAGGCAGCCCCCUGGGAUAACACUGACGCUCAUGCACGAAAGCGUGGGGAGCAAACAGGAUUAGAUACCCGCGUAGUCCCUGAGCGGGCUGGCAAGGCGCAU
rnacentral:rRNA from 1 species